GACGAACGCUGGCGGCGUGCUUAACACAUGCAAGUCGAACGGAAAGGCCCCUUUGGGGGUACUCGAGUGGCGAACGGGUGAGUAACACGUGAGUAACCUGCCCUUGACUUCGGGAUAACUUCAGGAAACUGGGGCUAAUACCGGAUAGGAAUCCUUGCUGCAUGGUGGGGGUUGGAAAGCUUCGGCGGUUUUGGAUGGACUCGCGGCUUAUCAGCUUGUUGGCGGGGUAGUGGCUUACCAAGGCUUUGACGGGUAGCCGGCCUGAGAGGGCGACCGGCCACAUUGGGACUGAGAUACGGCCCAGACUCCGACGGGAGGCAGCAGUGGGGAAUAUUGCACAAUGGGCGGAAGCCUGAUGCAGCAACGCCGCGGGCGGGAUGACGGCCUUCGGGUUGUAAACCGCUUUCAGCAGGGGCGAAGCUUGUGGUGACGGUACCUGCAGAAGAAGCACCGGCUAACUACGUG
rnacentral:rRNA from 1 species